rnacentral:rRNA from 1 species
UACGUAGGUGGCAAGCGUUGUCCGGAUUUACUGGGCGUAAAGGGCGUGCAGGCGGUCUGUUAAGUCUAGGGUGAAAGCUCCCGGCUCAACUGGGAGAGGUCCUUGGAUACUGGCGGACUUGAGGGAGGCAGAGGAAAGUGGAAUUCCCGGUGUAGUGGUGAUAUGCGUAGAUAUCGGGAGGAACACCAGUGGCGAAGGCGGCUUUCUGGGUCCU